CCUACGGGAGGCAGCAGUGGGGAAUAUUGCGCAAUGGGCGAAAGCCUGACGCAGCAACGCCGCGUGGGGGAUGAAGGCCUUCGGGUUGUAAACCUCUUUCAGCAGGGAAGAAGCGAAAGUGACGGUACCUGCAGAAGAAGCACCGGCUAACUACGUGCCAGCAGCCGCGGUAAUACGUAGUGUGCAAGCGUUGUCCGGAUUUAUUGGGCGUAAAGAGCUCGUAGGCGGUUAGUCACGUCGGAUGUGAAAUCCCGGAGCUUAACUCCGGGCCUGCAUUCGAUACGGGCUGACUCGAGUGUUGUAGGGGAGACUGGAACUCCUGGUGUAGCGGUGAAAUGCGCAGAUAUCAGGAAGAACACCGGUGGCGAAGGCGGGUCUCUGGGCAACUACUGACGCUGAGGAGCGAAAGCGUGGGGAGCAAACAGGAUUAGAUACCCUGGUAGUCCACGCCGUAAACGGUGGGCGCUAGGUGUGGGGAACAUUCCACGUUCUCUGCGCCGCAGCUAACGCAUUAAGCGCCCGCCUGGGGAGUACGGCCGCAAGGCUAAAACUCAAGGAAUUGACGGCUGNGAGNGCGAGCGACGACGAGGGAGAG
rnacentral:rRNA from 1 species